GCGCUCUCGAUUCUCUCAGUUGUUUGUCAAUAUUUGUUUGUAUAGGUUGUUGAUGAAGGCUGUAGAAUCCAUGGCUUCGCAUGUAAUUGGCCAAAACGACGUAGCAAGGACAAUGGUGGAAACUGUUAGGGUUAGGGUUCAACGGAGUCCCUCGUCAUUGUGUUCACCACCACAAUCAUCAAGCCCUAGCAAACUCUGCGGCACGCCGGUCCGGUUCAUGUUCUACCGGAACGGUUCGUGGAUCGAUUUCCCGAGCGAUGUGCAGGAGAGCAUUCGAUUGGGGUUCUCUAAGCGCAAGCCGAUGGUGGACAUGUCGAUAGGUGGGUCGAGGUACAUCUUUGACUUUCUGCGCAUGUUGCAGAUUGAUUUCGGGACCGGGAAUCAGCGAUCAAUCGCUUGGAUUGACAAAAAUGGUGACUGCAUUUUCCCGAGACAGUUCUUCGGCGAAGAGAUCGGGGAAGCGAACGGUGCGGAAGGGAGUUCAGGAAAUCAGACGAUUAAGAUUGAGAUUCGAAUUGACGGGAAUUCGUGUAAGAGAAAGGGGGAGGAAUUGGAAUCGAGUUCGAACGGGGUCCAGGACGAGGUAAGUUCGUUGAAACGACGACGUUUAGAGCCUGCCGAUUUGGAAACAUCUCGAUGGCCGAAUGCGAAGCCUUUGAGCCCAGGAGACCGACCUUACUCGGUGGUGAGCAAUUUUUUCCUGGUUGGGAUCAGGAAGAUUGUUAACGCUGCUUCCAUCACUGCAAUUCACAAGUGCACGCCCACGGGGCCGUUGGAGAGAGCUCGCUUCGAAGUUUUUCAGAAGCAGAUUGAGACUGUCAAGACCGCUCGGGGCGCGUCGAAUACUGUGUAUGCUUGGUAUGGAGCUUCAGCCAAAGAGGUAGCGGGGAUUUUAGCACAUGGGUUUUCAGUGCCAAGCAAGGUUUCGGGCUCUGGACCUUAUGGGGUUGGUAUAUACUUGUACCCCCUGGGUUUACCCCAUAUAAGUGCUCUGCAAUCGGAGACAGACGACAAUGGCCAAAAGCAUGUGAUAUUGUGCCGUGUUAUAUUGGGUAAUGUCGAAGAGGUCCAGGCGGGGUCUCAACAAUGCCAUCCUUCUAGUGAAGAUUUUGAUACAGGUGCAGAUGAUGCUAAGAAUCCGAAAAGGUAUGUGGUGUGGUUCGCCGAUAUGAACAGGAACAUUCUUCCCGAGUGUGUUGUGAGCUACAAAUCUUCUGAUAAGUUGCCAGGCCAGGUGAGAGCGUCGGCAAAGUAUCCGUUUGGGAAAUUAUUUUCGAAGAUGGAGAGUUUCCUUCCCACAGAACGAAUGCAGGAAUUGACGAAUCUGUAUGACACAUUUAGGAAAGAAAUCUGGUCUUGAAGUUCAUGAGGCAGGCAGCUCAUGUAGACUUGUCUCCUGUGGGCGUACCGGCUUACCCCAUAAAAGGUUGUCGAAGCUGGAAGGCUAAGGCCUUGAAGGGGUCCAUAUAUUGACUGAUCCUAAGUUUUACUGUGUGCAGUAUUUGGCAAGCCAGAAAUGAGAUAAAGUUUGGUGGGCAACCUCGAACUGAAGAGUAGAUUUUGAAGCAGAUUUUUUGGGAAGUUCGGUGCAGGAUCUCUGAAAAAGGAAAAUUUCAAAAGACCGGAGAAUGUCAACCUAUGUCACAAAUGGAAUGUUGAUACCAAUAUUCUGACCUGGUUCAGAUUGUUGUUUUAGGGUUGUGUUUUGUUUCUUUGUAUAUGAGUUUGUUAUGCCUAGAGCUUCUCUUUGAUUGUAAA